rnacentral:lncRNA from 1 species
ACGUUUUUAUCACUUGAUCAAAUAGUUGAUUUAACUUGGGGUUAACUUGGCAUUUAUAAAAUCUAAGUGCUAAGUAAUAGGUGAGGUUAUGUAAAUUAGUGUGUAUAUAAGUGGAUUAAUAUAUUGACAUUACUAAUUAUGUUUAUGAAUGGGAAACCACUCAUUAUAUAAUGUUAAGUACCAGGAUCAGAACACAAAACUAUGUACUGUGGUGACGUCAUAUCUGUAAAAAUAUGCAGAGAAAAUAAACUCGAAAGGAAAUAUGACACAAUGUAAACAGUGGGUAUCUGUUGGUAGUCAGUUUGCAGGUAAUUUUUCUUUUCUGUAAAACACUUUCUACAAUAAACAUAUGCCAUUUAUAUAAUCAGAAAAAUAUUUUUAUAAUAAAAUAUAGUCGUAAAGUGGAUAUUUUAUAUUUAGAUAGCACUGGAUAUGUGUCUCCUUUAGACUUGAGUGAAGAAUUGCUUGAAUAUACCUGAAUAAAAUCUGGGAAUCUGGCUCCUGAUCAGGAACACAACACUAUUAUGAAAUAGUUUCUAAAGAAAAAUAAAAUCUGUCUUACAAUAUUUUGACUUCCAGUGCCUUUUGCAGACACAUAAUCUGCCGUGAAUUGGAGGCCUGCCAGCUGGGGCAAUACAGCUUAACAAAUGAGGUUUAUAAGCCUUUCUUCAGUUCAUAUCGGUAGCAUUUUCUUACUGAGAUGUAAAUACCACAGCUGGUGAAGUGGCAACAUUAAUUAGCAUUGUGAAGUGUGUUGGAUAAGAAAGAAGAAUCCCUGGAACUGUCAUGAGCUAUAACUUCAGGUAAAAAGCAAGUAUAAAGGUAAGUAAUGCUGUUUCCUCCAUUCUUUGAGAAGCUAGUAUUAGCUGGGUCAUAUUUGUAAAGGAGAAAAAAAUCUGGCUUUAAGAGCUGAGCACAGAAUUACUUUUAUGGAAGCUUCCACUGUUUGGCUUGAUAUCCGCGUUGACCAUUUUGGUUGGGGAAAGAAAGCCCUUAUGGCCCAGAUAGUAUGAGUGAGAGAACUCUUGGCUGAAUGACUCUGAAUGAGAAUUGAAUAGGACAUUUGCAGUAUAGGGGCAAGUGAGGUAGAGAGGAGAGAAAAGGAGGAGGGGGAGGUUAAAUGUGUGCGUGUGUGUUUUGGCAGGGGUGGUUUAGCAGUGGAGAGAGUCUUAAUAAAAGGCAGGAAAAAUUCUGCAGUGACAGUGGAGUGAUGGCCGUGGAUGAUAGCUGCAGAGCUUUUAAGAAGCGGUACAGAAGUCUUUCCUCUGUUGAUCUGUGUUACAUUGUAACUACGCAUCCCGUCUCCUCAGCCAACAUUACCUUGGAUUUUUAGUGAAGAGUGUACUGCAUCCCAUGGCCGUGUAUGAGUAGUCUUUUUGGAAAAUCAAGAAGGAGCUAUAGGGGCUGGCCUGGUGGUGUAGCGGUUAAGUGCCCAUGUUCCGCUUUGGCGGCCCGGGGUUCCCCAGUUCAGAUCCUGGGUUCGGACAUGGCACUGCUUGGCAAGCCAUGCUAUGGUAGGUGUCCCACAUAUAAAGUAGCAGAAGAUGGGCAUGGAUGUUAGCUUAGGGCCAGUCUUCCUCAGCAAAAAGAGGAGAAUUUGCAGCAGAUGUUAGCUCAUGGCUAAUCUUCCUCAAACAAAAAGAAAAAAAGAAGAAGGAGCUAUAUUCCAUGAAUGGGUUGACACAAAGAGGACAGAAGAGAAUGACCACAGGAAGAGAAGAGAGAGACAUCAUUAGAAUUUCAGCAGAGAAUUGGAACUAAACAUGUCAAGGUAACACAUAAGUCUCCCAAGAAUCCUCAGGAAUAUUGAGAGGCAUGCUGGGCUACCCAUUGUGGUUACAAUGAAAUUUGAGAUCAGAAUCUCAAAGGCAGGGUCACCCCAGCUGGCAUAUGUGUUACAUUUGCACUUUACAGAGGCAGAUAUUUAAUAGUUAACACUUUCAGAUUGAUUUGUUGAUUUUUGGUUAACUAAAUGCCUAGCCCAGGAAAUGCUCAGUCCAACGUUUGGAUUUUUAUCAGUUCACAGGUUUAGUCUUUCCCUGUUUAUUUUAAGCAAUACAAUUUGUGGUUGAGAUUUGCAAUUGUCAAUUAUCUGUUCUCCUGCCAAUAUUAAAAAAAAAUAGGCAUGGGAAGAAAAUAACCAUAAAGACGUUUAAUCAGUUACUAGAACGGGGUUUAUUUCUCCCUACUGGGUCAUGUUUUCCAAAAAGUCUUCAGAGACUUUAAGCUGAUUAAUAUUUGUCAUGUCAAAAGCACAUAACUGCAAUUCAGCCCAUUAGUAUGCCCAUAGUCUUAUGGCACAGGGCAGAGCAAUCAAUUUAUCACUGAAAUUUCAUUUGUUUAUUACCCAAACAAAAGAGCAGGAUUGGAAAUUACAGCAAUGCUGUUAGUAGUGAUUUUUUGGUGGCUUUUAUUUUUCCUUAGUAAUUGAAGUGUUGGAUCCAGGAUUGUUCUACUUGGGAGGGCCAAAUCCCUGAGCAUUACAAUGGAGCACAUCCUGACUAUCAGUUAUUAAUCAAGGUAUUCAAAAGUGAGGGUGAGAGACCUAAGUUUGUAUAGUUCGAUUUUUUUAUUCAUGAGUUCAGAGGGCUUUCUUUUUUUAGAUGCCUUUUUCAUUUUCCACUCUGUUUUUUAUUGGAUGAUCUCAUUUUAUUGGGACCAACAAGGAAAAAUGAGUAUACAGGGAUUAUCGGUGCUUAAAAAUGCACAUUUAUGGAAGUGCAAUUUCAGGUUGAAGUAUUAAAUAUGGCAUACUAAAAAAGCAAUAGAAAGUAGGAGAUUUGGCUUUUAGUUUAUGCUUUAUGUCUUGCAAACUCAGGGAUGUUAGGCAAGUCACUUAGUUUUUCAACUCCUCAUUAUCUAAUCUACUGGAUGGGGAUAAUAAUACAUGGCCUACCUGAAGACACAGGGUUGAACUAAAUGAUCACCUGCCUGCCCAAGCUGUAUAGCACUUUUCUGCUAUAGCCCCUUACUCUAUUUUUCUUCAUAGCAUUUAUCACUAUCUGAUCUUUUACUAUAUUUAUGCUUAUCUUUUUAUUUUCUAUUUAUCCAAAAAGAAAGUAAGCUUCAUGAAAACAGGAUUCUCUCUGUGUUAUUGCCAGUGCUAGGGCAGUGACUGGCACAUAGUGUUUGAUCAAUAAAUAUUUGCUGAAAAGAUGAAUUCCAGCUGGAAGACCUGAGAUGAUAAAACAGAAUGUGAGGCAGCACGGUGGUUAAGCUCUGUUGUCAAGAUGCCGUGGUUCAAAUCUCAGCCCCACCACUUUCUGGCUUUGUGAGCUGAGACAAGUCAAUCAGCUGCUUAGGGCUUCAGUUUUAUCUUUUGUCAUGGGUGAAAUGGGCCUGGUAACAGUACCUAACUCUGAGUUGUUAUGAAAAUAGAUAAGAUAAUUCAUGAGCACAGGGUCUGAGUUUAUGAUCAGUUGUUGCUGUGAGUUUCUGGAUUCAUAAAGCAUGGACUCAGCUUUUCCUAGCUAGAGUGAAAAAAAUUAGAUGAUGUCACAGUAAAGACUUACCAUGACAAAGAUUUGUUGUUGUCUCAUAACAAAUGCUAUCUCCUGGUAAUCCAGGUUUUGAGGUGCAGUUAUGUUUGCCGCGUUUAUACUUUUGAGAGGGGAGGAGUGCAGGCUGAGCAGAGAGUCUUUGACAGAGUGACUUCUUGUUACUACCUUAUUGUCUUGAUUAAAGUGACAAUAGUUGUGCAUGGUUAACAUGACAAUUAGGACAGUGAUGAGCCAAGCUGCAGUGGUUGAUGAAUUACUCUGGAGCCCAAGGGCUAUGAGGAGCCCAAAUGGGAUCACUAUCCAGGCAGCAAUGAAGGUGUUGUUGUUGCUGGGGCCACAGGCUAAUAGGGGAAGAGGACAAAGCAAAGUGGCCCUAGGACUUAGCAGGAUCAGAUUGUACCUCUGCUCAGACCCGAACCUGUUCCACUGCUGCCUUAGAUCCACAGAAACCCUGACAGCUGAAGGAGAUUAGGGAUGAGGAGUAAGAAAGGAAGGAAGCUAACAUUUACUUAGCAUCCUCUACUUGCCAGGCACUGUUAAUCAUUUAAAAAGUUGUUGUCUCGUUUAGUCUUUAUAAUAACCCUUGAAAUGAGUGUUUUAUUUAUUUAGUAGUUAAAGACCUGAAGCUGAGGAAGUUUAAAUAACUCAUUCAAGGUCAAUAGCAAGUAAAGGAUGGUCCACAAAUUCAAGUUUAGAUCUCGCUGACUCCAAAGACUUCAGGUUGGAAAUCUGACCUUCAGAGAAAGAGUCAGGGCUUGGAUGAGCUCUGCAGUUGGAUCUAAGAAACACAUGUGGAGCACUAGCAGCAAAAGGGGGCGCUGAGUCAGCUGCCUCCUCAGGUGGCUCUUACAUGUUUCAGUCCAGCUCAACAUCUAAACUGGACAGAGCCUAAGGUAGAAACGUAUAGGGUGAUGGAGAAGCAGACUUUUGGGAACCAGGGAAGCCUUCCCUGACCCCUGCAGGCCCCUGACUCCCCCAGACUAUGCUGAUUUAUGUGUUCUUCCACACAUCGUUUGUGAGUGUACCUUGCUCUGUUCCUGACACGUUGUUUUCCACCUCUCCUCUUAUGUGUCUGCCUUCUGCUCCAGUAUGUGUUCUCCUCAAGUGCCGGGAGAGUAGCUCAGUCAUCAUUUUGUCCUUAAUACCCACUACACUGCCUGUCACAUAGCUGGUGCUUAUGGCUGCUGCAGAGUUGACUAAGGGCUAUAGAUGGGAAUAAUAGUUGGAAUUGGGCUUGAGAAUAGCAGCAGCUCAUGCCCUACUUCUUCUAUAAUGACUCUGUUUUAACAGCUUUUGUUCCAUGACCUUCUCUCCUCCUGCCCCCUACCCUUCUUGCCUGUAGACAAGAAUAAAAUUGGCAACAAUGGUUCCAGAAGCAAGGUCACUGUUUUCCCUGCUUGAGAGUAUACGAAGAAAGCAGUGGAGGUAGUAGACCCAGGGCUGUUUUGUAUCACAGUUAGACUAUUUUGGACAAGGCCAAGAGGUAUGUGUAGAAUACAAAUGGUUUGCCAGAGUUGGAAAAUAUCAUGAAGUUGCUGACUUGGGAGAUGCAGGGUAUAUAAGAGAGCACACCCAGCAAGCAUGGGAAGAAAAUAGACUUCUGCCUUGAGGUUGGCUCUUAUAGCAUUCUCUUUGGUUAAGCAUCAUGUUUUAAUUGACUGUUACCAAUUUUUAUGUGUAUAAUAUAAACAUAAGCUUAGAAGCUCUGAAGUUUAGAUUAGGGAGGCAGUUUAGCGGAGUAGUUAUGAACAUCGACUCUGGAUCCAGUCUGCGUUUCAACAUGGUUCCAUCACUUUCUGACUCUGCUUGACUUUGAUAAAUUUACCUAAAUUCUGUACCUCGGUUUCCUCAUCUGUAAAAUGGCAAUGCUCGGAGGACUAAAUGAGUUAAUACAUAUGAUACACCUAGAAACAUGCCCGGGACUUAGGGAGCAUUAUUGAGUGUGUUAUUAUUAUUAUAAUGGGAUCUUCAAACCUUUGCAGCAAUGUUGUAAUGUGGAUUUUAGAGCUUUGAGGAUAUGUCUGCCAAACUAGAUAUAUUGAAGCCCAUUGUACACUUCGGUUUCCAGUACUAAAGAAUGGAAAAAGCAAAUGACUAAUAAAUAACUUAGUGUGGUGAAACAAUCACUAGACUCCACUAGAUUUGGAGUUGAACAUCUUAACAUCAUUGCAGUGCAAUCUUGGAAAAUCCCUUCAGCCCCCGGUCUCAAUUUUCUUUUCUUUUCUUUAAAAUGAAAAAGUUGAAUUAGAUCUGGGAUGGCAAGUAAGUGCAAGCAAGCUGCUAAUCCAACCUCUUGUGACCAUGAAAAGCAUGGCUAAUGGUUAUCAGCACACUUUCCUGCUGCUCAUAAUUUGGCUCAACACUGCUGGCCAGGAAGCCGUUGCCAGUUGAUUCGUGCUGGCCAAUAACAAAAAAACGAUUUCCCAAUCGUAGCAUCGUAUGCUCUUGAAGGUCCCUUCCAGCGCUAUACUUCUGUGAUUUGAUUUAAUGACUCAGAAGUGAAUGAAUGUGUUAGAAGUUGAGUUUUGUAGAUUUAAUAUAGCUGGCAUUGGGAACUUUCCAAGAGGCCAAAGGAUUCAGGGAAAUUGGAGAGCUUUCUUCACAGUCUGGACAAGAAAAUAUUCCCUGACUGCUUACCAUGAUCCUUAUGUUUCAAAGGGAAAUGUUGAGAGGUAAAGGAAGACCCAGGAAGAAGGAAGUCUGGGUGAUGAAAAUUCUUUCUUCCUGAUAUUGCCCAAACCUGCCUUUUGGAAGGCUUUCCUAUGACUCAUAGGAAGGGUGCAGGUGUUUUGUCCUUGUAACCCUGAAGAUGUUGGAGUGUACUAAUUGUAGAUUUUGAGGCAUUUAAACUGGAGAGCUUCCCAAGAACAGGGAUGGUUUCUGAUUUAUGAGUUGAAAGCAAAUUUACACAGGGGCGUAAUCAGAGGCCAACCACCUUUUCUGGUUUCUGUAUGUGCUGUCUACAGAUGUUUUGAUCAGACAUAUGUGACCAGAAAUUGAGUACCUUGCUAAGCCAGGCUUUGUGACAAGGUCUCCUUUAUUCAGAGUUUAGAAUUCAAGCCUAUUUGUAUAAACCAAUUUCAGAAACAUGGUGAUGUGGACGUCCUUCAGAGAGUGGCGCUCAUUUUGAGGGCUUUGGUGCCGAGUUCCGCUCUCCCCCUCGUGGCACUGGGAUUUUAUAUUUACUCUGGUAUUGGACAACUCUGGAGCAUCCGUUUCCAUUCCUAUAAUGUUUGAGCUGACAGUUUCUUUUUAUCUGAGACUGGUAGACAGAAUCUCUCAGAAAUUAAGCAUCGUAGUACCAGAGAAUUCAUUGUUUUGACAAUGUCAGGUAGGAAGAUUUUUGAACAUCUAGACUACCUCCUUACCAGAUCUUAUUUUAAUCAGUUGAAAGCUUUCUUCUGGUGUCUAGAGAGUAAGAUUGCUACAUACAUGAAAAUUGACUAAAUUUGCUUACUCGUAACAGGAUAAAGCACUAAUUUCAGCUCUCUACUGACCCAGAGAGAAAUGUUUUGUGAGAGCUCUGGGUCUACAGUUCGAUGUGCGUGAAGAACGAACUGCCCCAUUACAAAGCCCUUGACUCUGCCCUGUGAGGGCAGCGAGUGGAAGGCCUUUGUUACUGAGAUCAAUGGUAUUCUUUUUUUGUUUUGAAGUUUCGAUCAUAACUUCAUGGACUGCAAAGAAAGUCCUCAUGCUUGUAUUAUUUAUAACAUUUGUGGCUCCGCCUUUUCUUUGGCAAAUCUGUAAAAACCAGCUUUCUCUAUACGAACCUGGAAAAUGCAAAGAACUCUUUUGCUGGGAAGUGCUGGUACUUCUGGAACGGUUUUGAGCUUUCUUGAAAGUUACAUAUUUUUUAUGCCUCUCAAUUUUGAUUUAAAGAAAAAUCGGAAACUCCUUUCCCUUUGUGUUUCUUUGACGCAGUAGGUGAAACUAGAGCCAAAAAAAUGGUAGCAGGAGAAAAGGAUAAAGUAAACCAGCUAUUGUGUGGUGAGGAUGUUAGAUUAGGGUAAGUGAAGAGUGUCUUUGUGUCUUGUAGUUCCACCAGGAUUGUAAACAAUUUCCCCUCCCUCUCAUCUGUUAGCAUUCUUAUAUGUCGCUGUCAUUAAAUUCGUUAGAACUUUGCCUAGGAAAAGCAAAGGAACCACUUAGGAACCUGAUCUUCUCACCUGCUCUCAGUGGGAAGUCACUGGUUUGUCUUAACGUGCCUCCUUGUUUGGACGACUGUCUACUCUAUCCUUCUGAAACCACUCUAUGAGCAGCUGAUUACCUGCCAUGAUAAUCACAGGGGCAGCUAACAUUACCUGAGCACUGAGUACGGGUUAGGUGCUGUGCAGGCAUACUGUGUACUUCCUCAUUUAGUCCCGCAACAUCCUUAUGCAUUUGGUGUGACUGUCAUUCCCAUCUUAUAGACAGGGCAUCUGAGGCUUAGGCUAGUCAGAUGAUUCAAGUUACCUGGGCUCAUGCGGCCAACACGUGCAGGAGCUGGAAUUUGGAAUCUACAGGCCAUGCCCUUAGCCAACUUGCUAUCAAUAGUUUUCUAGCAUUUUUCUGAUGACAGCAUUUGACGAGGGUUGUUUGAUGACACAGUCAGUGGAAUAUCAUAAUUGAUGAGAGAUACGGAGAUGGCUUAAUGUUUCUUUGGUUUGGCCUAUAACGUCUUGGAUCCCAUUUGCUUGGGCUUUUGCUUCCUCUUCUAUUUGAUUAUAUCUUGAAAGCAAUGGGUUCUCCUCUCAAGUAUGAUAAGAAAUCUGAGAAGGAAGCAACCUGGGAGAAGAAAGGGAACCAUUACAGAUUGACAGCUAGGAUGGAAAUGAAAACACAGAGGUGUCCCUAAAGUCUCGUUGCUAGUGUUAUCCUCCAGAGAGAAACUUUGAUACUCAGCAUCAAGCGUUCAACCCUCUUCCUCAUUUCACAUAUUGCGCAUAUAAUUUGUGCGGGGAUUACAACCUGAAUCUUCUUACGUACCUCUGGUUUCUGACACAGCAGCAGCCUUUGAAUCACUGAGUGUUUUUUCCCUGCUGCUUAAUCUCCGGAGCAGCCGAUUUAUAGACAGGAGGAGUUUUUGCUUUAUCUGUUCCAACCACACUCCCACUUUAUGCCUUGGUAUCAGGAAGCAGCUUUGACUUUCUCUUGCUCGGUGUGGGUUUGCCAAUGUGUGUGCACUUCUGUGUGUGUGCAUCUGGAUAUUCCUGAUGAUGCCAGAAACAAUAGUGGACAAGUGUGGGAGGGUGAGGACCUUUAUUGUGUAACAAACCAAAGGCACCAAGGAGGCUGCGUUUAUUGUGAGUUAAAAGGUUUAUACAAAGAUUUUCUUAGUAAUGUCUAAGUUUUUAAUAGGGUAAUUAAUCUUUCUAAGUGUUAGUGCCAGAUUAUGGGAUCAGCUAUUAUCCCUGGCUGCAAAGUAAUCCUUUGUGUGUUGCUAUGAGCAGGACUAAGUGAAGAGAAUACUCAGGUUGCCAAACAAAGAUAUGGCUGCAGUGAGCUUGUUCAGGUUUUUAAAUGCAUUUUCUGGUGCAGUUAAAAGAACCCAUGUUUCUGUGGGACUAUCACUGCCCUUUAAUAGCCACUGAGUUGAGGAGAAAGGCAGAGAAAUAAAUAUACGUGCUUUGUGGCUUUCUAUGCCUUAACAACCAAUUAUUGUUAUUUUAAAAAUAAUGACAGGCACAUUCAUUGGAGACCUUAUUUUAAGCCGGAAAAUACAAUUUCACAGAAAGAAAGACCUGCAGGAAUAAGGGCAAAAGGUUUUCAUCUGAUUCCAGAAGUUCUGCCUCUUUUUCUUUCCUUAAUUGAAGUUUAAUGAGAAUAGCCAAACAAUCCAGCAAGUUCACAAAACUCGAAGGGAAAACACAGCAGCUAAUGAGACUUGGCUACAACCUUUAAGCAAAAUUGAUUGUUUAAUAUAGCCUAUCAAAAUAUUGAUUACAAAUAGAUAGCUUGUUUCUGUAUAGUUUCUACAUAUACAUAUAUGUGAAAAACAAAAGUUCAGAACAUACUGUACCAUGCGAAAAUCCUGCAGGUAUAAUGAUUGUGUUGCAAUCCAGUCAAUGGCCUCUUCUCUGGCUUUGCUUAACCUUCCUCUUAGCUGUGAUGAGGGUUUCAGCUCUGGCUGUCUAAAUGAAGCAGUUAUUCAGAACUAUAUGUCUAUUGGUUUGGCAAUUGAUUGUGGUUAACACUUGUUUUCCCUAAACUGCUCCAACUAUUUUGUUUACAUGAGCUCUUGUAAUUCUCAACUGCUAGUGUCAGUUCUCUGGUAGAAGUGAUUUCUCCCUUGAAUUGUAACUUCUUCCCUCUCUGUAGGGCUCCAGUCUUUGUGCUGGCUUUGCUGUUAUGAUUGGUGGCUUACCAUAGGAAGGGUCACUGGGUUUGUUCUUUCUUGAAUCAUGCCUGUAUUUUGGCAUUAAAUUGUACUUACGUUCGAGAUCCACCAGAGGAUGUUCGUGGGUGGUGGGGAGACAUUCUGUAAUUUGUUUUUCUUUUAUACAGAAGUGGUACAAGAAUGACUUAAGCAAGAUGUAGCCAGGAUUCUCCUGUGUAGGGCAGAGCAAUGUCUUUUAUGGAGACUUGUAAGGAGGGAGGAAGGACUUAGGCUGGGUGUUCUGGUGAUCUUAAAGCCACUUCAGUGCUUUAUCUAUAUCUAAAGCAGUUAUAUAGUUACAUCAUUCUCUCUCUAGAUGCCAAACUUCCAGCACUUGAGCUGACAGGAGGAAGGCGAGCAGACAACAGAGAAGUGCUCGUGAAAGUAAGAUGCUGAUCAGGAUGCAUGUGAAUAUCAAUCAGCCUGCAUGCCAAAAAAUGGUUCAUGCAGCAGCUUGGGCUGGGGUGCAUGCCAGUGUCGCCCCCAUAUAUUAGGUGAUGCUUGCACAUAACAUUCCCAGAUGGCUGCUACUGUUGGAGAAUAUUACCCAAGGAUGGUCAUGGUAUUAUUCAGUGAAGGUCAAAUAAGACGUUGUGUUUCCCAGCCAAAGGGAUUUAAAAUGCUCUUUGCAUUGUUAGUCCAUGCAGAAUACUGGUCACGGUGGAGGAGGGAUGAAUCAGGAUAUCACAUGUAAAAGUGAGUGAGAGAGCUGCAGCAUCAAGCAGUUAUUCCUAUUAAUGAACAAAGACAGCAGUCAAUAUUUUGCAUAUUUAGCACAUUUUUUCACAGCCUAUUGAUGGGAGAAAAACAUCCUGGAAAAAUCAAUUAAUAAAGACUCAUGACUUAAAACGAAUGUUUAGUCUUUGUGGUGAAAAGCCUGAGCUUUUGGGAUAACUCUUAAGGACAAGCGUACUGAAACUAUUCCAGAACAAGAUAGGGACAUGCACACUCUGGAAGAAUUCAGGUUGGAGAAGAUGAGAAACUAUUUGAUGGAUGCAGAGGAACUAGAUGUUGAAGUUAGGAAGCACUGUGUAAUCCCUAUUAUUGGUUUAUAUUAGUGUGUGCAUGUGGGUCUUAUUUCAGAGUGUGGAUUUUAACAUAUCCUCUUGUUGUCUCACUAAAACUCUUAGUGCUUUUGAGUACCUCGUCCGGGUGGACUCUUUUUGACGAUUCCAGGCAAGAUUCUGGGUCCCACACUGGCCCAACAGAGAAGUAGAAGCUCAAACGGAAAGCUACCUUAGCCAAGUGUAACUUCUGAGUACGUUUGCUCAAUUCCAUCACAAGAGGACAGUCACUGUGGUCAAGUAAAUCCGACAGUUCACAGGUUUAAACUCCACCUUUUAUUCCUCUUAUUAAAAAACAAGUCUGCAGUCACUUAUCACUGAAAUAUUGGGAGAUGCAAUGAAAUGCUUUUCUUUAACAUGUGAAUGAUGCAUUUUAGAUAUUUCUCCUAAGCCCAGUAUUGGGCCUUGAAGGAAUAAAGGAAUUUCCUCCAUAUCCUUAAACUAACAAACUUUCUUUCCUGGACACUUUCACCUUAUCUCCUCUGUGUUUUGCUUCUUGCUUUCUUCUCCUGACCUCAUUGCCCAUUGGUCAUUUUGUCUCUGGCUCACUAGUCUGUUCAAUGUAAAUCUAGUCUCUCCUGUCCUUGAAUCUCGUUUCACUUCCUUGGUUUAUUGUCUUUUAGACAACUUUCAGGGAAAUAUCCUCUGCAUUAACUUGGCCUUCUCUUCUCGUAUUCAGAAGGCUUUUGUACCCCUUUUCCAACCUCUACGUAUAGGAUCUGAAAAAUUGCCUUUUGUUCCUAAAGGUGUGUUUUCUGGGCUCUAGUUUUCUCACUGCCAAUGUAGUUUUACUAAUAAAUAUCAGAUAUUGGAUCACAGUACAAUGUUAGUUUCUCUCUUCCUUCUAUACAGGAAUCAUUUUUUUCUUAGCUCAAACUAUGUAUUUCUGCAUUUUGAAAUAAUGAACAUCUCAUGUCAUUUUAUAACUGGAAGAAUACUCAAGGAUAUCUCUGAUAUAUUGUAAGAUCCAAAUCAGAAUGGCUUUGCUCAUUCCUGCUAAGUGUAGAAUGGUGUUAUUUCUGAGAGUAUGUUUCACAAAAGGAAUUCAAAGUGUUAAGUGUGUGUUGACAGGUACUGCAUUCAUGCGAAUUCUGUGUUCAGGACUCACAGGGGUACAUUUCAGAGGUGAAGAGGUUGGCUGCUUUACAUAUGGCGCUUCUCUUCUCCUUCUGUCUCCCAUCCUCAACAAAAUUUAUCAAUCUUGCAUACUGAAGGCUCUGCUAUCAGCUAAUUAUGAUUUAACCAUUAAUUUGUUAUUGAAAAUCUUGAGUGCUAACAUUUAAAAACAUAGUUACAACGCCUAUAAGUAUAGCUGUAAAAAACCUAAGGCAGAACAUAAUUGGGAAGGUGUUUUUUGGGGAUGUUGGUGAUGGUGGACAGAAAGAAGGCUUUUCUUAGAUUGUAGAGAUUAUGCCAUGAUUUGAUUGGCUUGCUAUUUUUCUCCCUCUCAUAUUUAUCUGCAAAUGUGAUCCCUUUCAUGAUUCUUUUUGGAUUAUUUAAAUGGCUGUUGUAAGAAAUAUGCCUAGAUUCUGUUGGUUUUGAAGAGAACGGAACUUCUCAAUCCCGUUUUGAAAAGAAAACUUAUUACUAUCCUUUCACUUGCAGAAGUCAUUCAUGUUCUUUAUAAGAAAUUUGUCAUCUAGUGUGUCACAACCAUGUUAGUUCUGAUGUGUUUUCUUUGGCUUUUUUUUCAAUGAGUUUUGCUGGUUUGUAUUAAAUACUUGUUAUUAUAUAGAAAGUAUGCAUUUUCUCUUUUUUACAC